UACAGAGGUCCCAAGCGUUGUUCGGAUUCACUGGGCGUAAAGGGUGCGUAGGUGGCCAGGUAAGUUUGGUGUGAAAGCUCGGAGCUUAACUCCGAAAAGUCAUUGAAUACUAUCUGGCUGGAGGGUCGGAGGGGAGACUGGAAUUCUCGGUGUAGCAGUGAAAUGCGUAGAUAUCGAGAGGAACACCAGUGGCGAAGGCGAGUCUCUGGACGACACCUGACACUGAGGCACGAAAGCGUGGGGAGCAAACAGG
rnacentral:rRNA from 1 species